rnacentral:rRNA from 1 species
CCUAGGGGGGCGCAGCAGUGGGGAAUAUUGGACAAUGGGCGAAAGCCUGAUCCAGCCAUGCCGCGUGUGUGAAGAAGGCCUUCGGGUUGUAAAGCACUUUCAGUGGGGAAGAAAGCCUUGGGGCUAAUACCCUCGAGGAAGGACAUCACCCACAGAAGAAGCACCGGCUAACUCCGUGCCAGCAGCCGCGGUAAUACGGAGGGUGCGAGCGUUAAUCGGAAUUACUGGGCGUAAAGCGCGCGUAGGCGGUCUGAUAAGCCGGUUGUGAAAGCCCCGGGCUCAACCUGGGAACGGCAUCCGGAACUGUCAGGCUAGAGUGCAGGAGAGGAAGGUAGAAUUCCCGGUGUAGCGGUGAAAUGCGUAGAGAUCGGGAGGAAUACCAGUGGCGAAGGCGGUCUUCUGGACUGACACUGACGCUGAGGUGCGAAAGCGUGGGUAGCAAACAGGAUUAGAUACCCCAGUAGUC